CAUCAUUCUUAAGCAUGGCUUCCAAUGCUUCGAUUCCCAUUCAAGGUCGAUAAUUUUAAUCUCCUUCUGUCUCUUCCUUCCUCCAUGUCGCGGUUGCUAUUUUUUUUCGUUGUAAUAGAAGAUUAAUACCUCUGUACUCAACAAAGCCAAAACCGACGGACCGCCACCGCAACCCAUCUCCACUGGCAAUUCUCAUCUCCCUCUAAAAAAAAACCCAGCUGCCCAGCGCAAUUCCGCCAAGGCACGCCCAACACCAACAUAGCCAUUGAACCAGUUACCAACAUAACCACCAAACCGCGGCAUAGCCGAUAACAACGAAACGAUCCGGCUGCCAGAAGCGGG